CAGCGGGGGGUAGGCAAACCACUUCGUCCAGCAGUGAAAAAAUUAUACACCUUCACCUAGAGAUUAUUGGAAACGAUAUUUUUUGUAUUCCAUAUGAUUUUAAAGCAAAAACGACUAUUUUUUUGAAAAGUAUGAUAAAUGGCAAUGACAAGUACAAUAUAUACAACAAUGACGGAGAAUUAUGAAGCUCACUGCAAAAUGGCAAGGGGAUAUCGAACAAAGCGGAGCUGGACAGCAUUGAUUGAUGAUUAAUCCAUACCUCCAUAAUGACUUUUUACUCCACCCAAUAUGUGAACUAAAGAGGUAAAACUUUUUUCAUUCGACACAAGAUAAAAGUUUCUACACUUGCCCAAUUUUCUGUAAGAUAAAACAUUUGAUUCGCGUUGCGGG